CAAUAGUUACUAACAAACUAUUCGCCAGAGUACUACUCGCAACUGCCUAAAACUCAAAGGACUUGGCGGUGCUUCACAUCCACCUAGAGGAGCCUGUUCUAUAAUCGAUAAACCCCGAUAGACCUUACCAACCCUUGCCAAUUCAGCCUAUAUACCGCCAUCUUCAGC
rnacentral:rRNA from 1 species